AUAUCAAUAAGCGGAGGAAAAGAAACCAACAGGGAUUGCCCUAGUAACGGCGAGUGAAGCGGCAACAGCUCAAAUUUGAAAUCUGGCCCUCGGGUCCGAAUUGUAAUUUGUAGAGGAUGCUUUUGGUGAGGUACCUUCCGAGUUCCCUGGAACGGGACGCCAUAGAGGGUGAGAGCCCCGUCUGGUCGGAUACCGAUCCUCUGUAAAGCUCCUUCGACGAGUCGAGUAGUUUGGGAAUGCUGCUCUAAAUGGGAGGUAUAUGUCUUCUAAAGCUAAAUAUUGGCCAGAGACCGAUAGCGCACAAGUAGAGUGAUCGAAAGAUGAAAAGCACUUUGAAAAGAGAGUUAAAAAGUACGUGAAAUUGUUGAAAGGGAAGCGCUCAUGACCAGACUUGGGCUUGGUUGAUCAUCCAGGGUUCUCCCUGGUGCACUCUUCCAGCCCAGGCCAGCAUCAGUUCGCUGUGGGGGAUAAAGGCUUUGGGAAUGUGGCUCCUCCGGGAGUGUUAUAGCCCAUUGUGUAAUACCCUGUGGUGGACUGAGGUUCGCGCAUCUGCAAGGAUGCUGGCGUAAUGGUCAUCAGCGA
rnacentral:rRNA from 1 species